AUAAUGCGUACAACUUGUGUGUGCAAUAAUACAUCUUAACGUCUGCUGACUCCUCUCCUAUGCUCAUUGUGACCGCAUGGAAAAAAUUAUUAUUUGUAAAAGUAAUAUUAUUACAUGGUGGUUGUUGUAAUUUGUAUUAAAGCAUAUACUAUAGUUAUUGGUUUAUGCUAUAAUUAAACCCAAUAACUUUUGUAAGUCUACAUUGUCAGCAAUUAACAUUCAUUUGACUCAUAUAAAAUACCAAAAAAAUAUUUUUUGCCUGUAAUUCAUCAAUACACAUUAUCGUUUACAAGGAAAUAUGUAUUUUUACAAAUAAAUAUAUAUUUCAUAAAAGCCACAAGCAACAACAAAUCUGUGGCAUAUAUUUGGAAUGAGAAUGUUUGCCAUUAAAAAGCAAUUAGUCAUUUGGCAUACACACAGCGAUAGACAGCAUGCGUUUACCUUGAGCAUAAUGAUUCUGUAAAGUUCAAAAGCUUUACUGCAUGCAUUAAUGUUGAUUUCUUCGAUCUGGGUGAAGGACACUUUUUAUUUAAUUUUUUCUUCGAUUGCUAAUAUGUAUUCAUGUGUGUAUAUAUGUAUGUACAUAUGUAUUACACAGCUAAGAAUCAAGUACUUUGAUCAAUUCUGCAUUGGGACUCGGACUAAGUAUGAGAGAAUCUAUACGUGAUACACACAUAUGUACAUACAUAUUUGCGAAUCCAAAAAACUGGUCUAAUUUUGAUAGCUGGAAAGCCAAAUAAAUGGAGUAGCCUUAAGUUAAAUUAACAAAAAUCGUACGAUCUCAUUGAGGCAAUAUAAUUUCUUACUUGAGAGACACGGGUACGAGUACUAGUUUUCAAGUGUCUAAAAUAGUUAUUAAGCAAAAAAAUCUGAAUAUUUUAGAGUCAAAUAGCCAAUAUCAAGAGGUUUAUCAGCGAAAGCAAUUUUAGAUUUCAGAGAGAAUAAUAAUAACAAUGCCGGUACAAAUGUCUUGACCAUAACUCAAAUUUCUUAUUUUUUCAAAAAAAAAAAAAACAUUUUUAAUGUAUCAAAACAUUUUGUUUACAGUAAUAUUGCACAAAUGUUUUUUUUUUUAUUCACACUGAUAGCGCACAUCUUAUUUUGCUUUAAUGCAUUUAAUUUACAGCCAUCAGGGACAAAUAAACUCAGCGGCUCAGCAAGGCCUAUAAGAAGGUGGAAAGGUUAUCAUUCGGAUUUACUAAUAAUCAAUACAAUUAUGGUUCUUUCAUCUUUGAAUUGUUAAAAAAUAUUUAAAAGUAUUUAUGUCAGGUACACAUGCUCCAAAUAAUUAAUAUAAUUUAAUAUUUAUAUUAUCUGAAUUAAUGUAGUAUAUAAUAAAAUAAUAUAAUAUUGAUAUAUUUAUGCACAAGCGUAAUUAGAAUAUGCUAAUUCUAAAAAUUUAAUGAAAGAAGCAAAAAUAAAUUUUAGACAUAUACAUACAUAUGUACAUGUAUUAACAAACAACAACAAUUUAGACAUACACACAUUCAUACAUACGCCUGUGCAAAUGGAAACUUCAAGCAUACUAAAUUAAAAAUAUGUACGCUACCACGCCCGCAUAAGCAACAAUUGUUUAUUUCAAGCGUGUGCACACACACACAUUCGCAAUCACCUACAAUGAACAAUAACAACAACAACACUAAAUAAACCACUUUUUAUUUCUAACAAAAAUGCAUUGAUAAAUUGUAUGUUUUCGCUUUUGUUUUGAUCAUUUUUCCCGUCGUGCAACGGUUGUUAACUGUUUGCCUCGUUGUUGUUGUUUUUCUCCCAGUUUAUUACUGGCUGACUAUGACCGAUUACAUAAAAUGAAAAAAAAAUACAUUUGCGUACGAUUGCAGUCAAAGUGAGCAAGCAAAAUAUACAAUAAACCAGCUUAUAUAUACACAGCUUAUAUACCAGCUUAUAUGUAUGUAUGUAUGUAUGUUUACGUAAGUGCAUAAACAAUUGGCAGUGUGUACGUGUCUGGUGACGGAAAAGCUGCUUGCGCCGGAAAAGCGCGCCACAGCGCCUUUAAGCUAUUGACUUACUUACCUACCUACAUACAAAUAUACAUAUGUAUGAGCAUGAGUAUGAGCAAAUACAAUUAUAUAUUUACAUUUUGUAAAUUUUUAUGUAUGUAGUUGUGAAAAAUACGCUUUUAAUAACACGCUUACAAGUAACGCGUUUGCCGCCGUUUGAAAUUAGUCGCUUUUCGUUCAACUCUUAUAACCGGUUUUUUAUAAUUAUUAUUUCUUGGUCGCUCCCACAAUGAGCCCAAAAACAAGUGGCCCCAAAAAUGACUUUUACACACGAAAAAUCCCAGCUGCAUUGCCACAAAUCGAUUUUUUGGGCAUUUAUUAUAUUUGGCUGAUUUAUUUAUUUUGUUUUUGUUAUUUUUUUUUUUAAUUAAUUUUGGUUAAAUAUUCAUUGUUUUUUAGUCUAAUUAAAUUUGUUUUUGUGAGUUUAAAAAUUUUCAUUUUUUGUUUUGCUUAAAGUAAAAUUUUGGAUCCUAAAAAUGUUAUUCAAAUUGUAGAUUUGAAUUUUUUCCUUAUGAAACCGCAAUAGUGUCGAAUUUGUAAUGAGAAAUUUACUGCUAUUUUUUCUGCUGAAAAAAAUUUAUUUUUUUUUCACAAGUUUCAAAAAAAAAAAUGGUGUGUUCAAUAAAUAACGGGAAUUUUCGUUUUUGAAAAAGUUAUUCAUUUGUAUACCUUCAAAAUAGUACCCAUUCGAUAUUUUCAACUUAUGCCAGUGCUUCUUCCAAUCGUCGAAACACUUCUCAAAAUCGAUUUUCGGGAUAGUCUUUAGCCCUUUCAAUGCUUGUACGCUUGUGAAAAGACAGCCCUUUGAGGUUCUCAUUAUUUUUGGAUAUAGAAAAACGUCACACAGAAAAAUGUCUGGUGAAUAUGUAAGCUGAGUCAUAGAUACGGUUUUGACCAAGAAUUCCCGAAUUCCAGCAACGGAGUGUGAGCUUUUAACAAACGAAAAUCGUCAAACUCAUAAAAACACGCCCAGCCUUAGCGGCUGCCAUAGGCAUAGAAGCGAAGCAUACUUUUGAAAAAUUUGUGGAAUUUUAAUAAAAAAAUUGACAAUUGGACUUUUGGUCAAUAUGAAAUUUAAAAAAUCCCGUUAUUUUUUUAUCACACUGUAUUUUACUAGAAAAGCUAACCCGGUACUGCCUAGAACUUUUUACCAUAUGAUAAUCGUGGUUCAUUUCGGGUUAAGCGUUUUGACUUUUAGGCUGUGACUACUCUGAAAAUGAUAUCAUCAUUCUCCGCUCCCACGAAAGUCGUGUCUGCGUAACAGGAACGGGAGCAGAUUUUUAUUCUACUCAAGACUGUCGUCUCGGCAACAUUCCUAAAAUUAUUUGGUGAAUUUUUUGUCGCGACAACAGCAACAAACACCAAACAUUUUUUAUGGAUAAUAUAUUCCAUAAUCUGUUGUUUUACAUUGAGAAACGGAUGUGUGCUCGUCAGCUUACAUAUUGCAUAUGAGAAAAACGUGCUUAACUAAGCAAUUUAUAGUUGAAAUGUGUUUUACGCCAAACUAUCUGCUUUAGCUACGCUUGUUGUUGGAAUUGGAGUUAAGAAAUUUGUUAGAUUGUCUUUAAAUAAGGAACUUCUGUAUUCAGCACUGCGUAUACGUGACAUGGAAAUCAAAAGAAUUCAACCAAUCACAUGAACUUACAUACAUACAUAUGUAUAUGGUAUAGGGCCUAACCGCGAAGGGUUGUUUAGAAUAUGUUUGCUUACAUAUAUGUAUAUAUGCCUCAAUUAAAUUCCUUAUUUAGAAUUAUAUACAAAUUGUCAGCGUGGAAGUAUUUCGCUUAUUCUUACCACAGAAUUUUUUUUUUAAUUUAUAGUUCAACAUAGCCAAAACAUGACGGAAAGAAGCAUGCGAUGUAUGGGUGUUAAUAACUUGCGCUUUUUAUGAAUGAUAUGAAUAUAUAUUAAUGCAUUUAGAUGUAUUACUAAUUAUUUUAGACUGAUAUUUCCCUACUCCAAAGGUUGCAGAAUACAAUAAAUGUAAAUUUAAUUAUACAUUCAACUCGUAUUUGCACGGGUAUACAUACAUAUGUAUGUAAUACA